AACCUUGCGCAGUAGCAAUAUCGUAAUCAAUGAAGUUCUACUAAGAUGGGAUUAUUGCUAGUUGAAACUAUCAUAUAUAAAUGUUAUUAAGUUAACUAUUAUGUAAGACUCGUGCUAUUUGGGAAAUUUCCCGUAAU